UCGGCUGGACGGUUUUGGCAGCCAGAAGGAUCCAUGCUGCAGAUGAGAUCUGGCUGCAGAUACCCGGAUCACAGGGCAUCAGUAUGCAAGAGGAGUUGAGAUCGAUUUUCAGCCAGUGCAAAGCCCACAUGGAUCCGCAGCGUCUCUGCCGUGUAUCAUGAACACAAGCCUGUCCAUUUGUACACACUGGUCUCUGGAUCCCAGCACUGUCUCAUGAAUCAUGAUCCCUCCAAUAUGCAGUUGGGCUGGCACAAUGCAACAAAAUUUCCUUCACCGCAGCUAAGAUAAGCACAGUUAUAAGAUUUUUUUUUUUGAAAAGGAAAGCACAGUUAUAAGAUUAAGGGGGCCAAAGUGGGGGAGCACUUUCAGAAAUUUUAUUGUUAUGGAUACAGGCAGGAAACCUUGCUGUGCCAGAGGCAGAGGGACAGGCGAAGGUGUGCCAGCCCACCUGCCAGAAACUCAGGCACUGCUGUCCAAUGCAAGAACCUUCCAAGCUUCCAACUAGACAAAAGUUUCCAGCUCAAAUUUGUAGUUUACUCCAGUUGCCAACAUCACCAGAAGGCACCAAACCAAUCCACACACUUGCCAGCUUUUGUAUUGUUGCCCAUAGCUUUCCUUGAUUACUACAGCGAAACUAACAUCAGAAACAAGGACUAACCUUGGGGUUCGGCAAGUAGGAUAUUUGCAAAUGGAAAGGUUAUGUCUGUUCACUUCCCCUUGCUUUUGACUUCACCUAUGAGAAACCUGUCCUGAUAAACCUAGGGAUAGUGGUAAAAUAAAGAACUGGGACCUUGAUCCAGACAACGCCAUCCUGUCAAUGAACCUUUAGACAAUAAAGUAAGAUCAAUGAGGCAAUAAAGUAAAAGAGGAAAGGAACCUAGGUUUUAUCUAGACUAUGCUUAUGUAUGUGUCAGGUUUAUAAUAAACUACCCAACCUCUGACAAGUCGCCAAAGAUGGAGAAGAAAACAAUGUUUGUUGAGAGUGAUCUGGAUGCUGAUCUGGUUCUUCCCUUAUCCUAAGAAACUUGCUGAUUUGAUGCAAGAGGAAUAGAGGAUGCUUUCCCAAAGCUACAAGUUACAGGACCACUCCUACAGAAAGGAGCCAAGCAUGGUGCACCAUCCUUGUCUACACCGCAAACUGCCAGUUAAUCAGCUUGUGGUUCCUGAACUGAGUGUAAUCUUCUCCAGAAAAAAAAAUUGUUUGCAUUUGCAGA